rnacentral:rRNA from 1 species
CCUACGGGAGGCAGCAGUGGGGAAUAUUGGGCAAUGGGCGCAAGCCUGACCCAGCAACGCCGCGUGAAGGAAGAAGGCUUUCGGGUUGUAAACUUCGUUUAAGAGGGAAGAGCAGAAGACGGUACCUCUUGAAUAAGCCACGGCUAACCACGUGCCAGCAGCCGCGGUAAUACGUAGGUGGCAAGCGUGGUCCGGCUUUACUGGGUGUAAAGCGCGUGUAGCCGGGCUGACAAGUCAGAUGUGAAAUCCCGUGGCUCAACCACGGAACUGCAUUUGAAACUGUCGGUCUUGAGUAUCGGAGAGGCAGGCGGAAUUCCUAGUGUAGCGGUGAAAUGCGUAGAUAUUAGGAGGAACACCAGUGGCGAAGGCGGCCUGCUGGACGACAACUGACGGUGAGGCGCGAAAGCGUGGGGAGCAAACAGGAUUAGAUACCCGGGUAGUC